UAGGGAAUCUUCGGCAAUGGACGAAAGUCUGACCGAGCAACGCCGCGUGAGUGAAGAAGGUUUUCGGAUCGUAAAACUCUGUUGUUAGAGAAGAACAAGGACGUUAGUAACUGAACGUCCCCUGACGGUAUCUAACCAGAAAGCCACGGCUAACUACGUGCCAGCAGCCGCGGUAAUACGUAGGUGGCAAGCGUUGUCCGGAUUUAUUGGGCGUAAAGCGAGCGCAGGCGGUUUCUUAAGUCUGAUGUGAAAGCCCCCGGCUCAACCGGGGAGGGUUAUUGGAAAGUGGGAGGCUUGAGUGCAGAAGAGGAGAGUGGAAUUCCAUGUGUAGCGGUGAAAUGCGUAGAUAUAUGGGGGAACACCAGUGGCGAAGGCGGCUCUCUGGUCUGUAACUGACGCUGAGGCUCGAAAGCGUGGGGAGCAAACAGG
rnacentral:rRNA from 1 species